rnacentral:rRNA from 1 species
UACGUAGGGUGCGAGCGUUGUCCGGAAUUAUUGGGCGUAAAGAGCUCGUAGGCGGUGUGUCACGUCGGCCGUGAAAACCUGGGGCUUAACUCUGGGCGUGCGGUCGAUACGGGCAUCACUAGAGUUCGGCAGGGGAGACUGGAAUUCCUGGUGUAGCAGUGAAAUGCGCAGAUAUCAGGAGGAACACCGAUGGCGAAGGCAGGUCUCUGGGCCGAUACUGACGCUGAGGAGCGAAAGCGUGGGGAGCGAACAGG